rnacentral:rRNA from 1 species
GACGAACGCUGGCGGCGUGCCUAACACAUGCAAGUCGAACGAGGUCCAUCCUUCGGGAGAAGACCUAGUGGCGAACGGGUGAGUAACACGUGAAGAACCUGCCCCGAAGACCGGGAUAACCCUCCGAAAGGAGAGCUAAUACCGGAUACCCCCACCGAACCGCAUGGUUUGGUGAGGAAAUGGAUUCCGCUUCGGGAGGGCUUCGCGGCCUAUCAGCUAGUUGGUGGGGUAACGGCCACCAAGGCAUCGACGGGUAGCUGGUCUGAGAGGACGAUCAGCCACACUGGGACUGAGACACGGCCCAGACUCCUACGGGAGGCAGCAGUGGGGAAUCUUGCGCAAUGGGCGAAAGCCUGACGCAGCAACGCCGCGUGGGGGAUAAAGGCUCUCGGGUUGUAAACCCCUUUCAGCAGGGACGAAUCAAGACGGUACCUGCAGAAGAAGCCCCGGCUAACUACGUGCCAGCAGCCGCGGUAAU